GAUGAACGCUGGCGGCGUGCCUAAUACAUGCAAGUCGAGCGAACGGACGAGAAGCUUGCUUCUCUGUUGUUAGCGGCGGCCGGGUGAGUAACACGUGGAUAACCUACCUUUAAGACUGGGAUACUUUCGGAAAACCGGAGCUAAUCCCGGAUAAUAUUUUGAACCCAUUGGUUCAAAAGAAAAAGACGGCUUUGCUGUCACUAAUAGUUGGAUCCGCGCUGCUUUAGCUAGUUGGUAAGGAAACGGCUUACCAAGGCAACGAGGCGUAGCCGACCGGAGAGGGUGAUCGGCCACCCUGGAACUGAGACAGGGUCCAGACUCCUACGGGAGGCAGCAGUAGGGAAUCUUCCGCAAAGGGCGAAAGCCUGACGGAGCAACGCCGCGUGAGUGAUGAAGGUCUUCGGAUCGUAAAACUCUGUUAUUAGGGAAGAACAUAUGUGUAAGUAACUGUGCACAUCUUGACGGUACCUAAUCAGAAAGCCACGGCUAACUACGUG
rnacentral:rRNA from 1 species